rnacentral:tRNA from 1 species
UGGCAGAUAGUUUAAAUUAAAAUUUUGGUUUUGGAGGCUAAUAAUGGUUAAAUUCUUUUUUUAG